CCGGGUCCGAGGGUUGAAAAACCCUAGAAUUUGAAGAACUCACCAGAAUAAGACCAGAGAUGUCGGAAAAUCACCCAAAACAUCUACUGAUACAUGAUCGGAGCCUCAAAAAGUCAGAAAAGUCCCGAUUAUCCGAUUAAUCAUUCAUCGAAAAAUAUACGAACGAUAUUUUUCUCAGAUAACCGAAAAAAAACUUCGGCAAAAGCUUCAGCAAGUAUCGAUAACACAUAACAGAGAAGGAUCGGAAGACUUUCCCCAUCUGAUACCAUGAAAAAUUGAAGAUCUGAAGAUGAAAAUCAGAGAAAAUGAAGAUGAACAGGAAGAGACAGGGAGAGAGAAGUGAGAAGCUUCUGGAGAAACCGAGAAGCGUAAAAU
rnacentral:lncRNA from 1 species